UACGGAGGAUGCAAGCGUUAUCCGGAUUUAUUGGGUUUAAAGGGUGCGCAGGUUGUUUGAUAAGUCAGUGGUGAAAGUCUGUCGCUUAACGGUAGGAUUGCCAUUGAUACUGUUAGACUUGAGUAUGGAUGAGGUAGGCGGAAUGUGUAGUGCAGCGGUGAAAUGCAUAGAUAUUACACAGAACACCGAUUGCGAAGGCAGCUUACUAAUCCAUCAUUGACGCUGAGGCACGAAAGCGUGGGGAUCAAA
rnacentral:rRNA from 1 species